rnacentral:lncRNA from 1 species
UCAUUUUAACAAGUAAACGGCACGCCCUUCGCCAUCUCCAUCUACAACGUUUUUGGCGACGACGUACGGCAUAAAAGUACGGCACCUUUUCCAGUAAGCCCCGGACGACCCGAAGAAAUGUCAAGUACGGCGACGGCCCCCGACAACCAGAUUUCACUUCUCUACCUGCUCAGGCAGUUGUUUUCCUUAAUACUGCCACAAGUACAAAAUCCCCUAUCUGCCCAGCAGCAGCAGCAGCAGCAGCAUCUCUCCUACGAAAGGCAGGGGAGAUCGCGACCAUCUCCCGAAGGCUACAACAAGGUUCCCCCCAGCUACCCCCCAGCUACCCCGCUGGUACCCCACAGAAUGAUUAGAUAAUUAGAACGAUUAGAUAUGACCUAUCAUAGGAGGAAUCUUGACUAAGUGCGUACCGCCGCUGUUCGCGCCUACCUGGCCGCUACCAAUGCCCGUCAUCAUCCAAGCAACCUCUGCUUACUCCGCUUACCUGUGGCGGACAGCUCACGGCCAUCAAAGGAUAAACGACCAAGGGCAUAGGGCCCCCAAGGGCAUAGGGCCCUCAGUGAAUUCUUCCGCGGACGGAACUGACCGGACUGCCAAACUCAAGACUGCAAACUCUAUAAGCCCUUUUAGGACCCAGGAGGCGUGGCAGGGAGGAGGAGGGGGGUUAAAUGCCCAAUGCACCCAUAACAGGAUCGGACAGAACCGGACAGGAUCGGUUCCCCCCGC